AUUUUCGGCAAUGGGGGAAACCCUGACCGAGCAACGCCGCGUGAGAAGAAGGCCUUCGGGUCGUAAAGCUCUGUUGUAAAGGAAGAACGGCGCAUACAGGAAAUGGUAUGCGAGUCACGGUACUUUACCAGAAAGCCACGGCUAACUACGUGCCAGCAGCCGCGGUAAUACGUAGGUGGCGAGCGUUAUCCGGAAUCAUUGGGCGUUAUGUGGGAGCAGGCGGCCGCAAGGGUCUGUGGUGAAAUACCGAAGCUAAACUUCGGUAAGCCAUGGAAACCGGGCGGCUAGAGUGCGGAAGAGGAUCGUGGAAUUCCAUGUGUAGCGGUGAAAUGCGUAGAUAUAUGGAGGAACACCAGUGGCGAAGGCGACGAUCUGGCCUGCAACUGACGCUCAGUCCCGAAAGCGUGGGGAGCAAAUAGGAUUAGAUACCCUAGUAGUCCACGCCGUAAACGAUGAGUACUAAGUGUUGGAUGUCAAAGUUCAGUGCUGCAGUUAACGCAAUAAGUACUCCGCCUGAGUAGUACGUUCGCAAGAAUGAAACUCAAAGGAAUUGACGGGGGCCCGCACAAGCGGUGGAGCAUGUGGUUUAAUUCGAAGCAACGCGAAGAACCUUACCAGGUCUUGACAUACUCAUAAAGGCUCCAGAGAUGGAGAGAUAGCUAUAUGAGAUACAGGUGGUGCAUGGUUGUCGUCAGCUCGUGUCGUGAGAUGUUGGGUUAAGUCCCGCAACGAGCGCAACCCUUAUCGUUAGUUACCAUCAUUAAGUUGGGGACUCUAGCGAGACUGCCAGUGACAAGCUGGAGGAAGGCGGGGAUGACGUCAAAUCAUCAUGCCCCUUAUGACCUGGGCUACACACGUGCUACAAUGGAUGGUGCAGAGGGAAGCGAAGCCGCGAGGUGAAGCCAAACCCAUAAAACCAUUCUCAGUUCGGAUUGUAGUCUGCAACUCGACUACAUGAAGCUGGAAUCGCUAGUAAUCGCGAAUCAGAAUGUCGCGGUGAAUACGUUCCCGGGUCUUGUACACACCGC
rnacentral:rRNA from 1 species